rnacentral:rRNA from 1 species
UACGUAGGGUGCAAGCGUUAAUCGGAAUUACUGGGCGUAAAGCGUGCGCAGGCGGUUUUGUAAGUCAGAUGUGAAAUCCCCGGGCUUAACCUGGGAACUGCGUUUGAAACUACAAGGCUAGAGUGUGGCAGAGGGGGGGUGGAAUUCCACGUGUAGCAGUGAAAUGCGUAGAGAUGUGGAGGAACACCGAUGGCGGAAGGCAGCCCCCCUGGGUUAACACUGACGCUCAGGCACGAAAGCGUGGGGAGCAAACAGG